AUUGAACGCUGGCUGCAUGCUUAACACAUGCAAGUCGAACGGUAACGAUGCUAGCUUGCUAGCAGGCGACGAGUGGCGGACGGGUGAGUAAUGCAUAGGAAUCUGCCUAGUAGUGGGGGACAACCUGAGGAAACUCAGGCUAAUACCGCAUACGACCUACGGGUGAAAGCAGGGGAUCUUCGGACCUUGCGCUACUAGAUGAGCCUAUGUCAGAUUAGCUUGUUGGUGGGGUAAUGGCCUACCAAGGCAACGAUCUGUAGCUGGUCUGAGAGGACGAUCAGCCACACUGGGACUGAGACACGGCCCAGACUCCUACGGGAGGCAGCAGUAACGAAUAUUGUGCAAUGGGCGCAAGCCUGACACAGCGACGCCGCGUGUAGGAGGAAGUCCUUCGGGAUGUAAACUACUGUCAGGGGGAAGAAAGUGCGCUUCGGCGCAUUGAUCUAACCCAGAGGAAGUCACGGCUAACUUCGUGCCAGCAGCCGCGGUAAGACGAAGGUGGCAAGCGUUGUUCGGUAUUACUGGGCUUAAAGCGUGUGUAGGCGGAAAAUUAAGCGUUGUGUGAAAUCCCCCGGCUUAACCGGGGAACUGCAUAACGAACUGGUUUUCUUGAGGCAAGUAGGGGUGCAUGGAACUCUUGGUGGAGCGGUGGAAUGCGUAGAUAUCAAGAGGAACGCCAGUGGAGAAAUCGGUGCACUGGGCUUGUCCUGACGCUGAGACUCGAAAGCGUGGGUAGCGAACGGGAUUAGAUACCCCGGUAGUCCACGCCGUAAACGAUGCCUACUAGGUUGUGAAAGUUCUGACACUCGCACAGCCGAAGCAAAAGUGUUAAGUAGGCCGCCCUGGGGGAGUACGGUCGCAAGGCUGAACUCAAGGAAUUGACGGGGGCUCACACAAGCGGUGGAGCAUGUGGAUCAAUUCGAAGCAACGCGCAGA
rnacentral:rRNA from 1 species